CAGCCACCUAGUCCCUCCAGAUGAGGGUCUUCAUCUCUGGAUCUAAAGGUUUCCCUUCUGAGGCCCCAGACCCAGGUGGAGGGUCUGCAGUAAGACAGAAUAAGAUGUAGGAGGGAUGAACAACUGAGAUACUCAAGUUCAACCUCUAACUGGGCAUUGAGACAUCUUCCUGUCUCCUUAGAUGGUGGCAGUCACUGGAGACCUGACUUAAAGGGUCCAAGAGCUCCAGUUAUGAACAACAAUGACCACCACCACCAUCUCCCCAUUUCUAAGGGCAUUGCAAUUUCUGGAUGCAAUGCUGGAAUGGCUCCAUCCAGCAGCCUGAAAAGGGGCACCAGUCCAGUCAGAAAGGCAGAGCAGAAAAAUGGACCUUGAUGACAUUGUUGAUCAGCUGAAUCACUCAACGCUAAAGUUUGUUUGACCUCAGAACUUCCCAGUAUGUAGGAUAAUAAAUUUCAUGAUUGCUUAAUCUGGGGAGCAUGGAGAGAAAGAGAGAGAGAGAGAGAGAGGG